CUCCAUCAGCUCAACACCUUCUGUUAGUAGUAUGUUUAGUAGUGGUACCAAAGUUGACAAUGUUGCUUAUACUGAAGUACUUUUCGCGAACAAUGCAUUCCUGAUGGCUGACCACAUUAGUGACCUAAUCAAGGCUGAGUUUCCAGACUCUUAACUGCACAGAGGUUUGCCUGUAAGAGGACCAAGACAACCCACAUCGUCACACAAGCUUUAGCACCACACUGCCAGUGGGACAGUAAAGUAAAUGACAUGUGUGGUAGUGAGAAAUUCACAGUAAUGAUAGAUGAGUCAAAUGACAGACUUGACAACAAGAAGCUCAACACCC
rnacentral:lncRNA from 1 species